ensembl:miRNA mir125a microRNA mir-125a
CCGUAUGCCCCUCUGUCCCUGAGACCCUUAACCUGUGAAGUCAAAGCAGGUCACAGGUGAGGUCCUCGGGAACAGGGCUGCAUUCAG